rnacentral:rRNA from 1 species
GAUGAACGCUCGCGGCAGGCCUAACACAUGCAAGUCGAGGGGUAGAAGGAGCUUGCUCCUUUGAGACCGGCGCACGGGUGCGUAACGCGUAUGCAAUCUACCUUGUACAGGGGAAUAGCCCAGAGAAAUUUGGAUUAAUGCCCCAUAGUAUAUAACCUUCGCAUGUUGGUUAUAUUAAAGUUCCAACGGUACAAGAUGAGCAUGCGUCCCAUUAGUUAGUUGGUAAGGUAACGGCUUACCAAGACGAUGAUGGGUAGGGGUCCUGAGAGGGAGAUCCCCCACACUGGUACUGAGACACGGACCAGACUCCUACGGGAGGCAGCAGUGAGGAAUAGUGGUCAAUGGUCGCAAGACUGAACCAGCCAUGCCGCGUGCAGGAAGACGGUCCUAUGGAUUGUAAACUGCUUUUAUACAGGAAGAAACCCUCCCACGUGUGGGAGCUUGACGGUACUGUAGGAAUAAGGAUCGGCUAACUCCGUG